CUCUUUUUCAUUUGUCUCCUCAUGACUGUAUUACACUGCUCCCCGGUGGCCAAGUCGCACACACCAGAAUGAGCCGCAAUAAAUUAAUUUUGAUCCGCACAGUGUUAAAUAGUUUAGUUUCUACUUAAUUAUGUUGGUACAAUGUUUUAAUCAAGUAUAAAUAUGGACUGCUAUUUUCCUAUAUACCGUUUAUGAGAGUGGUAACGGAACGAAUGAACCUCUAUCUCAAGGCACACCUGCAUUUUAUAUUUAUCGUGCAUUGGCUUCACAGCAAAUAUGUCAAUACUUGACUUGUUGCCUAAAUAAGUUGUAGUGACAAUUUAACCAGAGAUGCAAGCACAUGUAUGGCUGUCGUUUCCUUAGUUCAGGCCCCUGCCAACAAUAUGUUAGUAAUUUGUUGUCUUGUCGUUCCAUUGUGCUGCCAGUAGAGGAAAUGAAGUGUGCGCGCUUGGGCAAUCAAACACAACAAUCCGAGUCUUUCUGUGAGCGAUGAACGGGGCCUGUGCAAUCUUUAGCUCCUUGACAGCGAGAGGAUGUCACAGGGCGCCGCGACGAUGCGGCGUUCUGCACUGGCACAUGCACGUCGCUAAUAGACGCAACCGUGCCCGGUGACGUGACGGAUUGCGCACGUCCUUGCCGGUCAUCCGUCCCCUCUCAGUUUGGUCCCCAGAUCACACUUGUUACACCUCCUCCCGUCAUGGACACGCGAAACUAAUGCUCACAUUCCCACUGCUGUAGUGAUACUUAUUAAAGACUUUAACAGACAGUUGGUUACUUCUGGAAUUCCACGGUAAUUGAGUGACGUGGGAGUCCGCGAACGAGCGGGAAGAGUUGGCCGUCGUUGGCUCGGAAUCGCAGGUAGCUGUGCACUGCCCGACCCGGCUAAUCAGUGGCGCUGCUUUAACGACUGACGUCCAUUCCGUCCAAUGACGCAGCAUCAGGAAACCCUAGUCGCAUAGCAGGGAGUAAUAUGCACCGCCUGACUGAAAAGACUCGCCAACGGCUAUAAAAGGGCGGAAGGAAACGCUUUCUAGGUGGCAUAAAGGGAGGCAACCGCAUGACCUUUGUUACUGCCAACACUAGUGUUAUGCCGUCCUGUGUCGUGUUCUUGCCCGAGAAGCUUCCAGCGCAAAGACGUUUUCAUUCCUCACAAUAGCCCUUCAAACACCAGGGGCACCUUCCCAAGUAGGCCUCCCUGUGCCAUCCACGACCUCCAGGAAGAGCGGCGGGAAGAGCUCGUUGGGACACUCCACCUUCAUGUGCAGGAAGCGGCUGGCGUGGCAAGCGCCGAUCAUGCGCAGGUCCGUCACCUUCAUCAGCAGCUUGGGCCAGAAGUGAGGAAUGUUGUGCUUGCGGUAGUUGAUGUAGUGCUCGAACGCCAGCAGCAGCGCCACCUCCGUGUCGUCCAGGUUGAACUGCGCCAGGCUCUUGCCCAGGUCGAAGAUGGCGUCCGACACCACGCCCAGCC